rnacentral:rRNA from 1 species
GAACGCUGGCGGCGUGCUUAACACAUGCAAGUCGAACGAUGACGGUGGUGCUUGCACCNCCUGAUUAGUGGCGAACGGGUGAGUAACACGUGAGUAACCUGCCCUCCACUUCGGGAUAACCUCGGGAAAUCGUGGCUAAUACCGGAUAUGAGCACUCAUCGCAUGGUGGGUGUUGGAAAGAUUUAUCGGUGGGGGAUGGACUCGCGGCCUAUCAGUUUGUUGGUGAGGUGAUGGCUCACCAAGACGAUGACGGGUAGCCGGCCUGAGAGGGCGACCGGCCACACUGGGACUGAGACACGGCCCAGACUCCUACGGGAGGCAGCAGUGGGGAAUAUUGCACAAUGGGCGAAAGCCUGAUGCAGCGACGCCGCGUGGGGGAUGACGGCCUUCGGGUUGUAAACCCCUUUCAGUAGGGAAGAAGCGAGAGUGACGGUACCUGCAGAAGAAGCGCCGGCUAACUACGUGCCAGCAGCCGCGGUAAUACGUAGGGCGCAAGCGUUGUCCGGAAUUAUUGGGCGUAAAGAGCUUGUAGGUGGCUUGUCGCGUCUGCCGUGAAAACCCGAGGCUCAACCUCGGGCGUGCGGUGGGUACGGGCAGGCUAGAGUGUGGUAGGGGAGACUGGAACUCCUGGUGUAGCGGUGAAAUGCGCAGAUAUCAGGAAGACACCGAUGGCGAAGGCAGGUCUCUGGCCAUUACUGACACUGAGAAGCGAAAGCAUGGGUAGCGAACAGGAUUAGAUACCCUGGUAGUCCAUGCCGUAAACGUUGGGCACUAGGUGUGGGGGACAUUCCACGUUUUUCCGCGCCGUAGCUAACGCAUUAAGUGCCCCGCCUGGGGAGUACGGCCGCAAGGCUAAACUUAAGA